CACCCAUUCACCCAUUGGAGUGGAAGUUUUUGCUCCCAAACUUAAUUAAACCCAACAUCCUGUAUGAUUAAAGCCAUGGACUUAACUCACUCCAAAUCUCCGGAGUCAGAUACUGAUACUAGAACCCCACUGCAGACCCACCUCUCCAGGGCCUUAUCUCUCUGCAAUGGCUCUUUCAAUCCAUCCCACCAUUACCAUACCCUAAAUCCCCAGCCAUCACCCCUCCAAAUGGUGGUGUCCUACAAAGAAUGCCUCAAAAACCAUGCUGCUAACCUUGGUGGCCUUGCCCUUGAUGGCUGUGGAGAGUUCAUGCCUAGUCCCACUGCUAACCCUUCCGACCCUACUUCCCUUAAAUGUGCUGCUUGUGGCUGCCACCGCAACUUCCACCGCCGU
rnacentral:misc_RNA from 1 species